ACCUGCGGAAGGAUCAUUGUUGAGAUUUGAGGAUAAUGACAAGAGAAUUUGUUUUCAUAUUUAGACCGUUCAAUAGAUGUGCGCAAUAUAGGAGAGUAUUUCCUUUAUUGGCAUGUUUGUUGGAUGGACAGCCAUGCCCCUUCUUAUUCAUAGUUGCGGGUUUGGCAUAUGAUUUUGGGCACGGCAUGUGUCAAGGAAUUGCUCAUUGCAAUCGUGGCUUCGGCAGCGGUUUGUAAUGUGCUCGAAAUCCAUGCAUGCUUGUCAUGCUAUGGUAAUGACUUAUCAUCAAAUCAAUAGAUAUGACUCUUGACAACGGAUAUCUAGGCUCUUGCAUCGAUGAAGAACGUAGCGAAAUGCGAUAUUUGGUGUGAAUUGCAGAAUCCCGUGAACCAUCGAGUCUUUGAACGCAAGUUGCGCCUAAGGCUUUGGUUGAGGGCACGCUUGCUUGGGUGUCACACCUUUUGAUGCUCCUUCAAAUCCAUUUUGUGGGUUAGAUGGAAGCUUGAUUGGCUCACCGUUCUUUUAUAGUUGCGGUUAGCUUAAGUAUGAGAUGUCCAUGGAGAACCAUGACACGACAACUGGUGUGCAGAAGAAUUUUUCUGAUGUGGCUAAUGUUGUUUCACUCUAUGACACAAGCUCGCACCAAGUGUGUUUAAGGGGCCCUUGAACGGUGGAGUUGGACAUCAGCAAAUUUUGUGGAUGUUAGAAAUGUUCUCCCUUGUUGCUACCCCAGGUCAAGCGGGACUACCCGCUGAGUUUAAGCAUAUCAAUA
rnacentral:rRNA from 1 species